CGUCAUUGACUGAAAAAUGUUCGAAGUCCAAAAAGACCACAAGACGUACAUUAGCGUCAUGAACUGGCUCUAGCUUCACAGAAUCAAAUAAAGACGGGGAUUUUUUCAUUAUUUAGUGCAAAUGGUUGACAUACUUGUUGGUAUAGAUGGAUUCGUAGUAACAGGGAGUUUGCCGAGGUUUGCGCUGUUGAAAAAAUUGUAACUCUUAUGGUUCAUGUCACGUCUUCGCAUCAGGUCUAGCUGCUGAUAGAUAAAUGAGCUUGAGAUUAUCAUCGAGUGACGAUACGAUGCGGAUAAGCAAUAUUGUGUUGUUUUUGUUUACCUCACUUUUUGCACUAUUUGGAAAUGAAAAAAAUGCUGUCGCUGUAAAAGCCACAAAGAGUUUCAGAAUUGAAAGCGCAAGUUAUGAGCAGUGUCUAGUGCAUAGAAACCGUUUCACGCCAUCGCAAAGCUACGAGCCUUCAUUAACGCUCAGAAAAUGUGACCAAAACUCGACUGGGUUCAGCCAACGCUGGGUAUGGACAAGCAGAGGACAACUGAGGUUAAAAGGAAAAAAACGUUGCCUCACUGCUAGUCAACGUGGCGUCGUCUUUUUACAGCGCUGUCGCGUUGAUGAAAUUCGUGAAAAAUACGAAUUUCAGCAAUGGGAAUGCAUGGGAAACCUCUUGAAGUUGAAAUAUAUGAAUGCAUAUUUGGUGCCGUUUCAUUUCUCUUCGAAAGGCAUCAACAUAUUUGGCAUUUUGGCGCGGUCGGUGGCGAGGCGGAAGCGAAUUGGUACGACAGUUUACGGAGCGGGUGAAUGGUCGCGACAAGGAACAGGAGCAUCCCUUUGCGGAGACCUUCCCUUUUAAGGAAGAUUUCUUUUCGGAUUUAUUUCUCAACGCUGAAAGAUCUGAUUUAAUUAGCUGGAAAACCAUAAUUAACAUCUGAUGAAUUUAU